GGGGUUGUAGCUCAGCUGGUUAGAGCGCCUGCCUGUCACGCAGGAGGUCGCGGGUUCGAUCCCCGUCAAUCCCGCCA
rnacentral:tRNA from 1 species